rnacentral:lncRNA from 1 species
CGCAAGAGAGUCUUAAAACUAGAUUUAAAAGAAAGAAAGCAGGCCCAAAGAGAGGGCAAGGCCCGGAGGAGGAGGGGUGACGGGUUUGCCCUGGGAGGUCCAGGGCAUCAGUGGGUGAACACCGGGAUCACAGGUCAUUGUGCCUCAUCCCGUGGGGUGGUGCCCACCCACUGUGCCCUCUCUGGGUCUGGGUUCUUCUCCUGCUUGCUUACUUUCCCGAGGUGUCGCUCCUGCGGGAGUCCUGGGCUGGCUGACUGUGUGUUCUCUCUUCCAGGAGGGCGUUGUCACAGAGUCCCAAGUGCACUGUGUCGUUCACUGUAGAAACCCAGUGGAGCACCCGGGAGCCUGCUGCCCCACCUGUCCAGGCUGCCUGUUCCAAGGUGUGCAGUACGGCGAGGGAGAGGCGUUUUGGCCGGAAGGGAGCAAGUGCACCAAGUGUUCCUGCCUCGUAAGUGCUGCGUGGGUGCCGGUCUCAGGGCUGUUUGCCUGACCCCGAGCGGCUGGCUCUGCCCGGGCAUCGCUGACACUGGCUUGGGUCAUCCGCGUGGUGGGGCUGCAGGGUGUCCUGAAGGAUGUGUAGCUGCAGCCUGGUCUCCGCCCUCACUUCCGCCUGCAGCCAGCAGGGUCAGCAGGCCCUGCCCGGUCCCUGAAGAGCAGCCUCAGUUCUCACUAGGACCCGCCGCUCUUCAGGGCACAGGAGCCAGGCCCUUGCGCCUCUGCUGCCCCCCUGGGGGUUCUGUGGCUUCUUGCUUCCUGGGAUGGAGGAGCUUCCUGCCAAGGCAGCUGUGGGUUUGCUGCAGUCAGAUGGGAGCGGAUGGGAGUUCUGCGGGUGAGGGUGCUCUGGGGAUGGCAGAAGGAAGUCAGGGGGUCUGGUCUUAGGCAGCAUCUUGUGUUAAUUACAGUAGAUAGUUGGUACACUCUUUAUUUUUUGUUUGUUUGUUUUCUUUUCUUUUCUAAUAAAGAACGCACAUUUUCCAAGUC